GAUGAACGCUGGCGGCGUGCCUAAUACAUGCAAGUCGAGCGAAUGGAUUAAGAGCUUGCUCUUAUGAAGUAGCGGCGGACGGGUGAGUAACACGUGGGUAACCUGCCCAUAAGACUGGGAUAACUCCGGGAAACCGGGGCUAAUACCGGAUAACAUUUUGAACCGCAUGGUUCGAAAUUGAAAGGCGGCUUCGGCUGUCACUUAUGGAUGGACCCGCGUCGCAUUAGCUAGUUGGUGGGGUAACGGCUCGCCAAGGCAACGGUGCGUAGCCGACCUGGGAGGGGGAUCGGCCACACUGGGACGGAGACACGGCCCAGACUCCUACGGGAGGGAGCAGUAGGGAAUCUUCCGCAAUGGACGAAAGUCUGACGGAGCAACGCCGCGUGAGUGAUGAAGGCUUUCGGGUCGUAAAACUCUGUUGUUAGGGAAGAACAAGUGCUAGUUGAAUAAGCUGGCACCUUGACGGUACCUAACCAGAAAGCCACGGCUAACUACGUGCCAGCCGCCGCAGUAA
rnacentral:rRNA from 1 species